CGCCGAGCCGCGAGCCGAGGGUGCGCAUGCUCCGCAGAGGCCCGCACGGGGCCUGAGUAAACCCUGAUAGAGCCAUCGCGAGGCGGGGUUAUUGCUGGAAUGAUGGUGGUUUGGGGAACUCUUUUUCUGGUGAGGCGCUGAAGUGGGAAGACGUGUAGGAUCGUAGUUCCCCGACCAGGGAUGGAACAGG